rnacentral:tRNA from 1 species
GCCCUAGUUAGCUUGGAAGGUAGCGCGUCUGCCUUGUAAGCGCUAGGCCGCGGGUUCGAUUCCCGACUGGGGCG